rnacentral:rRNA from 1 species
UACGGGGGGGGCAAGCGUUGUCCGGAAUUAUUGGGCGUAAAGAGCUCGUAGGCGGUCUGUCGCGUCGGCUGUGAAAUCCCGAGGCUCAACCUCGGGUCUGCAGUCGAUACGGGCAAACUGGAGUACUGCAGGGGAGACUGGGAAUUCCUGGUGUAGCGGUGAAAUGCGCAGAUAUCAGGAGGAACACCGGUGGCGAAGGCGGGUCUCUGGGCCGAUACUGACGCUGAGGAGCGAAAGCGUGGGGAGCGAACAGG